AUUAUCAUCAGCUUUACUGUAGGUGUUUGACUUGACAACAAUAACAUGCUUUUAUUUAUCAGGAGCCAGAAGUAGAAUAUGUUGCAGAUGCUGACUUUGAAGAAAGUGAUUUGAGUGACUUUGAGGAUAUGGACCGCCUUGACAACACAAGCGAUGAUACUUCAAGUAGCGCAGACGAGGAGGACAAGAAAAGCGUGAAAAAGUUUUUUAAAAAGAAGAGACCUCGAGUUGAAAUUGAAUACGAAGAAGAACGAGACCAGCCAUCAACAUCAAAGCAGAAAAUUGAAAUAUGACAACACUGUCUUCACAUAUUUAUAAUGUGUUUUUGUUAGACUAUUACUGUAUGAAUAUUGUAUUGUAGUCACACAAACUACCUUAAAACCUCGAAUAGAAGCCCUGGGUAAAAUGUUCCACUGAAAUGCAAACCAAUGAAUUACCUGUAUUUAAUUUUAAUAUAUCAUUAGUAGAGAUAUUUCCUUAUAUUUCUCAUGAACACAAUUAAAACAAAUCAAAUAUUUGCAUUUUGCCAGUUUGUUCUUUUUAUUGUUAUGUACAAGUGAGUUAAUCUUAUUUCUGCUGCUUUGUAGCUUUUAAAAAACCAAAUAAUAUUAUAAACCUUAACAUUUUUCCCCUCCCUUGACCCAAUCACAGUGGUUUUGCUCUGAAACCCUGACCAGAUGUCCUCUAUGGCUAUUUAGUUGGAACAUUUGUUGGACUUAUUUGACCCCGUUGGAAUAUUUUUGGAGCCACUGCUGGCCAGGGUUUACACGGCCCACAAAAUUUAGUUCCUACACGCUGGCUUCACUCUAGAGGUAGAUUCUCUUACAGUAGUAACCCAUAAUUAGGCCAGGUUCAUGACAGUGGUAGUGCCAUAGUGGGAAGGAAGGGCAGGCCUCUACCCCCUGUCCACAACAAGGUCAUCUGAUCAAAAUUUUAAAAUAAUGCCUAUCCAAAUAUCGUUAUUUUGAUUGCCAAUCCCUAAUAUUUGGAUUUGGACAGAGGCUUUAGUUAGCUCCUUGCUUUCAACUCCCCCGUCUCUCAAUAAACCUAUCAAUGGAUCUAAAUCAGCAUUCCGCAAACUUUUUACUUCACGGCCUAUUUACGAUUUCAGGCACCAAGCCGCGGCCCAGCAGCCCAGCCAUGCCAGGGACCAACAUAUCAAAUACUGGCUAGAACUUUUGAUCAAGAAGCCUCCAUGUAUAUACAAUAUUUUGACAUCAUUAUCUGUUCUCUCAGUGAUAAAAUUGUAUACAAAAUAAAUAUUAUAUGAAAUAAAUAAUACCAUUCAUUUGUGUUCCCCCCCCCCCACUUGUUAAUUGUUGUUUUUUUCUACCAUGAUUCAACCAAACACGGUUCAGCCACACACAUCAUAGCUUUCUCCUUCCAAAUACUUGUACGCACACUCUGUUACUCCCCAACUUUGAAAGACUACCUUACUAUACAGGUAUUAUGUUUAGUAAUAAAGUAUCCACAUGGGCAUUUGGUUAUCAA